UAGUCCACGCCCUAAACGAUGAGGACUGGCUGUUGGCGCUAUAGACGCGUCGGUAGCGAAGCUAACGCGUUAAGUUCUCCGCCUGGGGAGUACGACCGCAAGGUUGAAACUCAAAGGAAUUGACGGGGGCCCGCACAAGCGGUGGAGCAUGUGGUUUAAUUCGAUGCAACGCGAAGAACCUUACCAUCCCUUGACAUCCUCAGAAUGAUCUGUAAUCGAUCAGUGCCUUCGGGAACUUUUGCACAGGUGCUGCAUGGCUGUCGUCAGCUCGUGUCGUGAGAUGUCGGGUUAAGUCCCUUAACGAGCGAAACCCUUGUCUCUAGUUGCCAGCACAUAAUGGUGGGGACUCUAAAGAGACUGCCUGCGCAAGCAGAGAGGAAGGAGGGGACGCCGUCAAGUCAUCAUGGCCCUUACGCCCAGGGCUACACACGUGCUACAAUGGUGCAUACAGAGGGUCGCGACACAGUAAUGUGAAGCCAAAUCUC
rnacentral:rRNA from 1 species